GCUGAGGCAGGAGAAUCGCUCGAACCUGGAAGGCAGAGGUUACGGUGAAGAAACUGAGGCAGACAGAGGCCAAAGACACUUGCCAGUCAGCAACGGGUUUGGAUUCAGCAUCCGCAGGCUACCACAGAGCUGCUUUCUGUCAUUACCGAGUCGAAUGCAUCUUCUGGGACCUCACACCAACAGAAUCCCCCACGUGUGUGCUGGUGGCUGCCAGCUCCUCUCCCGGUCUUGGUGCUGUGAUGCUGUGUGCACAGUUGUUCCUGUGGCUGAGUCGCCUUCCAUGGGACGGAUGUGCCACAACCUGUUGCUCCCUUUGCCUGCAGGACGGAGCAACGCUGUGUUGUCUCCAGUUUCCGCCUUUUACAAAUAAAGCUGCUGUGAACAUGUGCAA